CCUACGGGAGGCAGCAGUGAGGAAUAUUGGUCAAUGGACGCGAGCCUGAACCAGCCAAGUAGCGUGAAGGAUGACUGCCCUACGGGUUGUAAACUUCUUUUAUAAAGGAAUAAAUUCAGCCACGUGUGCCUUUUUGUAUGUACUGUAUGAAUAAGGAUCGGCUAACUCCGUGCCAGCAGCCGCGGUAAUACGGAGGAUCCGAGCGUUAUCCGGAUUUAUUGGGUUUAAAGGGAGCGUAGAUGGGUUGUUAAGUCAGUUGUGAAAGUUUGCGGCUCAACCGUCAAAUUGCCAGUGAUACUGGCAGCCUUGAGUACAGUUGAGGUAGGCGGAAUGCGUGGUGUAGCGGUGAAAUGCUUAGAUAUCACGAAGAACUCCGAUUGCGAAGGCAGCUUACUAAACUGCCACUGACAUUGAUGCUCGAAAGUGUGGGUAUCAAACAGGAUUAGAUACCCGUGUAGUC
rnacentral:rRNA from 1 species